GUGGGAAGGCCCAGACAGCCAGGAUGUUGGCUUAGAAGCAGCCAUCAUUUAAAGAAAGCGUAAUAGCUCACUGGUCGAGUCGGCCUGCGCGGAAGAUGUAACGGGGCUAAACCAUGCACCGAAGCUGCGGCAGCGACGCUUAUGCGUUGUUGGGUAGGGGAGCGUUCUGUAAGCCUGUGAAGGUGUGUCGUGAGGCAUGCUGGAGGUAUCAGAAGUGCGAAUGCUGACAUAAGUAACGAUAAAGCGGGUGAAAAGCCCGCUCGCCGGAAGACCAAGGGUUCCUGUCCAACGUUAAUCGGGGCAGGGUGAGUCGACCCCUAAGGCGAGGCCGAAAGGCGUAGUCGAUGGGAAACGGGUUAAUAUUCCCGUACUUGGUGUUACUGCGAAGGGGGGACGGAGAAGGCUAUGUUGGCCGGGCGACGGUUGUCCCGGUUUAAGCGUGUAGGUGUGUGUUCCAGGUAAAUCCGGUUCACUUUAACACUGAGGCGUGAUGACGAGGCACUACGGUGCUGAAGUAACAAAUGCCCUGCUUCCAGGAAAAGCCUCUAAGCAUCAGGUAACAUCAAAUCGUACCCCAAACCGACACAGGUGGUCAGGUAGAGAAUACCAAGGCGCUUGAGAGAACUCGGGUGAAGGAACUAGGCAAAAUGGUGCCGUAACUUCGGGAGAAGGCACGCUGACACGUAGGUGAAGUGAUUUACUCACGGAGCUGAAGUCAGUCGAAGAUACCAGCUGGCUGCAACUGUUUAUUAAAAACACAGCACUGUGCAAACACGAAAGUGGACGUAUACGGUGUGACGCCUGCCCGGUGCCGGAAGGUUAAUUGAUGGGGUCAGCGCAAGCGAAGCUCCUGAUCGAAGCCCCGGUAAACGGCGGCCGUAACUAUAACGGUCCUAAGGUAGCGAAAUUCCUUGUCGGGUAAGUUCCGACCUGCACGAAUGGCGUAAUGAUGGCCAGGCUGUCUCCACCCGAGACUCAGUGAAAUUGAACUCGCUGUGAAGAUGCAGUGUACCCGCGGCAAGACGGAAAGACCCCGUGAACCUUUACUAUAGCUUGACACUGAACAUUGAGCCUUGAUGUGUAGGAUAGGUGGGAGGCUUUGAAGUGUGGACGCCAGUCUGCAUGGAGCCGACCUUGAAAUACCACCCUUUAAUGUUUGAUGUUCUAACGUGGACCCGUUACCCGGGUUGCGGACAGUGUCUGGUGGGUAGUUUGACUGGGGCGGUCUCCUCCUAAAGAGUAACGGAGGAGCACGAAGGUUGGCUAAUCCUGGUCGGACAUCAGGAGGUUAGUGCAAUGGCAUAAGCCAGCUUGACUGCGAGCGUGACGGCGCGAGCAGGUGCGAAAGCAGGUCAUAGUGAUCCGGUGGUUCUGAAUGGAAGGGCCAUCGCUCAACGGAUAAAAGGUACUCCGGGGAUAACAGGCUGAUACCGCCCAAGAGUUCAUAUCGACGGCGGUGUUUGGCACCUCGAUGUCGGCUCAUCACAUCCUGGGGCUGAAGUAGGUCCCAAGGGUAUGGCUGUUCGCCAUUUAAAGUGGUACGCGAGCUGGGUUUAGAACGUCGUGAGACAGUUCGGUCCCUAUCUGCCGUGGGCGCUGGAGAACUGAGGGGGGCUGCUCCUAGUACGAGAGGACCGGAGUGGACGCAUCACUGGUGUUCGGGUUGUCAUGCCAAUGGCACUGCCCGGUAGCUAAAUGCGGAAGAGAUAAGUGCUGAAAGCAUCUAAGCACGAAACUUGCCCCGAGAUGAGUUCUCCCUGAGACUUUAGGUCUCCUGAAGGAACGUUGAAGACGACGACGUUGAUAGGCCGGGUGUGUAAGCGCAGCGAUGCGUUGAGCUAACCGGUACUAAUGAACCGUGAGGCUUAACCUUACAACGCCG
rnacentral:rRNA from 1 species